rnacentral:rRNA from 1 species
AACGAACGCUGGCGGCAUGCCUAACACAUGCAAGUCGAACGAGACCUUCGGGUCUAGUGGCGCACGGGUGCGUAACGCGUGGGAACCUGCCCUUAGGUUCGGAAUAACUCUCCGAAAGGGGUGCUAAUACCGGAUAAUGUCUUCGGACCAAAGAUUUAUCGCCCUUGGAUGGGCCCGCGUUGGAUUAGCUAGUUGGUAGGGUAAAAGCCUACCAAGGCGACGAUCCAUAGCUGGUCUGAGAGGAUGAUCAGCCACACUGGGACUGAGACACGGCCCAGACUCCUACGGGAGGCAGCAGUGGGGAAUAGUGGACAAUGGGCGGAGGCCUGAUCCAGCAAGGCCGCGUGAGUGAUGAAGGCCUUAGGGUUGUAAAGCUCUUUUACCCGGGAUGAUAAUGACGGUACCGGGAGAAUAAGCUCCGGCUAACUCCGUG